AAGACCGAACACGGGAGCUCGAUGGCAACGAGCUGAGAUCCGCGCUGAAACCCGCGCGCCAACCGUUUGAACCUGUCUGGUUAGCACCAGCGAAGGAAGUAUCAGGAGUGUCCCU
rnacentral:ncRNA from 2 species